AGAGAUGUGUGAUGACGCAUAUCAAUAAGCGGAGGAAAAGAAACUAACAAGGAUUCCCUUAGUAACGGCGAGUGAAGCGGGAAGAGCUCAAAUUUGAAAUCUUCAAGGUUCUACCUUGACGAAUUGUAGUUUAUAGAAGUGUUUUCUGUUAGUGGAGUGGCAAAAGUUCUUUGGAAUAGGACAUCAUAGAGGGUGAGAAUCCCGUAUUUGGUCAUUCCUCCUAGCGUUGUGAUACACUUUCAACGAGUCGGAUUGUUUGGGAAUGCAGUCCAAAAUGGGUGGUAAAUUUCAUCUAAAGCUAAAUAUUGGCGAGAGACCGAUAGCGAACAAGUACCGUGAGGGAAAGAUGAAAAGAACUUUGAAAAGAGAGUUAAACAGUACGUGAAAUUGUCAAAAGGGAAGCGUUUGACACCAGUGUUGUUUUUCCGAAAAUCAAUUACGAAUGUUUUGUUUUUGAGGAGUUAUGACUUCAUCGGCUUGCUCCUUUCUUUAUGAAACUUUCUUAAUGCACUUUUCGGUUAGCAAGUCAACAUCAAUUUCUUUUGUUGUAAAAGGGUAUGAGGAAGGUGGCUUUCUUUUCGGAGAAAGUGUUUAUAGCCUUGUGCCUCUGCAAUCGGAGAGAUUGAGGUCUGCAGCGUAGAUCCUUCGGGGUUAGAUACGUUUGUGCUAAGUUAUAGCUUUUCAUAGACAACUUGUUGACUAUGUUUAGUCUUGUAGCUUACUCGCUGACGCUAUUAUACCUACGCUUAGGAUGUUGAACUCUAUCACACACAG
rnacentral:rRNA from 1 species